UCGAGCCGAGAACCUGGGCUCCGGCCCAGGGGAAAGCGGCGAACGGGUGAGUAACACGUGGGUAACCUGCCCUCGGCACCGGGAUAGCCCGGGGAAACUCGGAUUAAUACCGGACAGCCUCAUGAGCUUUCGGGCGCAUGAGAAAAGGUGGCUUCGGCUUCCGGCUGAGGAUGGGCCCGCGGCCGAUUAGCUUGUUGGUGAGGUAAUGGCUCACCAAGGCUCCGAUCGGUAGCUGGUCUGAGAGGACGAUCAGCCACACUGGGACUGAGACACGGCCCAGACUCCUACGGGAGGCAGCAGUGGGGAAUCUUGCGCAAUGGGCGAAAGCCUGACGCAGCGACGCCGCGUGCGAGAAGAAGGCCUUCGGGUUGUAAACCGCUUUCAGGAGGGACGAGGCCACUCAGGUUGAUAGCCGAGAGGGUGACGGUACCUCCAGAAGAAGCCCCGGCUAACUACGUGCCAGCAGCCGCGGUAAUACGUAGGGGGCUAGCGUUGUCCGGAUUUAUUGGGCGUAAAGAGCGCGUAGGCGGCCAGGUAAGUCCGACGUGAAAUCUGGAGGCUCAACCUCCAGCGGUCGUUGGAAACUACUUGGCUAGAGUCCGGAAGAGGAGAGUGGAAUUCCUGGUGUAGCGGUGAAAUGCGCAGAUAUCAGGAAGAACACCGAUGGCGAAAGCAGCUCUCUGGGACGGUACUGACGCUGAGGCGCGAAAGCGUGGGGAGCGAACAGGAUUAG
rnacentral:rRNA from 1 species